rnacentral:rRNA from 1 species
CCUACGGGAGGCAGCAGUGAGGAAUAUUGGUCAAUGGACGCAAGUCUGAACCAGCCAUGCCGCGUGCAGGAAGACGGCUCUAUGAGUUGUAAACUGCUUUUGUACAAGGGUAAACCCUGGGACGUGUCCCAGGCUGAAAGUACUGUACGAAUAAGGAUCGGCUAACUCCGUGCCAGCAGCCGCGGUAAU